UUGUGAGGAACUGCGAAUCUGAAGGAAGCCGGAGGUAAAUCUCCGCCAAGACGAACAGGAAGCAGACCAGACCGUUCCAUGUGGGUGAGUUUGCACAACAAAACGAAGCUCAAAACUAUCCGAGACAUGGUGCUGUAUAUCUGAUAGGUAUAUGGAGAGAAAGCUUGCGUU
rnacentral:ncRNA from 1 species